rnacentral:rRNA from 1 species
UACGUAUGGGCAAGCGUUGUUCGGAAUUAUUGGGCGUAAAGGGCUCGCAGGUGGUUUGUUAAGUUGUUGGUUUAAUCUCUGGGCUCAACCCAGAGUCAGCCUUCAAAACUAGGCGAACUUGAGUACGAGAGGGGAGUAGCGGAAUUCUCGGUGUAGCGGUGGAAUGCGUAGAUAUCUGGGGAACGAUCAGUGGCGAAGGCGGCUUCCUGG